AUAGCUUCUAUCCGCGUUCGGCGGUUCCCAAGCUCUUGUACCCACGUUCGGCGGUUCCCAAGCUCUUGUACCCGCGUUCGGCAGUUCCCAAGCUCUUGUACCACGCCUGAGAAGAAUGAGGAUACGUUGGACAUUGAAGGGUGAAGAGGGCGGAGAAGAAUUUUAUUGAGCAAGGGAACAGCAAUUAGCGGAGAAGGGACUCUGGGGGGUGGUCGCCCACCCCCUUAGUCGGAUGGUUUUUUCCUCCCCUCGUGGCUGGGUCACGAGCUUUUUAUAGGCUUAGAAUAGGGGAGGGGCAGGUCAUAGGUAGUAUUGGAAAAGGCAACGCUUGAUCGGUUAAAACGCAUUAUUUAGAAAUAAUUAAUCAGGAAAGAGCGGGGGCAAAAAGGAACAGAAAUACUCAGCCUGUGUCGCGGGUUUCAUCUGGGACCAGCAGUUCAGUGUUUUUGGCUGGAAGGUGGGGUUUCACCCCAUCCUCCUGGGCAUUUAGCAGCCUCCAGCCGCUCUCACUUUCGUGUGCCAUGGACGAGAUGAUAAACUGAGAUUGUAGAGGAGUUGCAGUUCUUGGCAGUGACCAGGUCUAGAGAACGACCACUGAGGCUUCAUUUCUGAAUAUGGAUGUCCCACUGCCAGCUUUGGGAAGCCUUCACCAUCUCUGCCUAUACAGAUGGACACACUCCCUGCCUGUGCUGCUGCUAGACUGUGCUUACACUUCCAUCACAGAAUUUAUUUGAUUGGGUUAUCAUGGCUUCUCUGCUGGAAUGGAAGCUACUUGGGAGCCUGGGGAAAUGCUUGGCUCAAAGCACUUCUGCACUUCUGAUGGUUGGAUGACUCCACUGAGACCCAAGACUUAAGACUCACCUGGUCCUAUAGCCCCCACCCAGAAGUGGACUCAGCACAUAAGAACCAUUUUCUACAUCUCUAUGAUUGCACCCCUGACCAAUCAGCAGCACCCAUUCCCUAGCCCCCAGCCCACCUAACUAUCUUGAAAAAACUCUAGCCUCCAAAUUUUCAGGGAAUCUGAUUUGAGUAAUAAAAUCAACCCAUCUGUUAUUAUUAGUCUGGCC
rnacentral:lncRNA from 10 species